rnacentral:rRNA from 1 species
CCUACGUGAGGCAGCAGUGGGGAAUAUUGGGCAAUGGGCGCAAGCCUGACCCAGCAACGCCGCGUGAAGGAAGAAGGCUUUCGGGUUGUAAACUUCUUUUCUCAUGGACGAAGCAAGUGACGGUACCUGCGGAAUAAGCCACCGCUAACUACGUGCCAGCAGCCGCGGUAAUACGUAGGUGGCAAGCGUUAUCCGGAUUUAUUGGGUGUAAAGGGCGUGUAGGCGGGAGCGCAAGUCAGAUGUGAAAACUCAGGGCUCAACCCUGAGCCUGCAUUUGAAACUGUGUUUCUUGAGUGCUGGAGAGGCAAUCGGAAUUCCGGGUGUAGCGGUGAAAUGCGUAGAUAUACGGAGGAAAACCAGUGGCGAAGGCGGAUUGCUGGACAGUAACUGACGCUGAGGCGCGAAAGCGUGGGGAGCAAACAGGAUUAGAUACCCGUGUAGUC